rnacentral:lncRNA from 1 species
UUUGCAUUUAUUGUUUAUUGGUAUUUGAGGCUAUUUUAAAGUUACUGUGGGGUUUCAUAGAAACUCGGUAUCGGUACCACUUACAUAGCUGUCCAUAACAUAAAUGCAAUAAACUUAAAAAUAAAGGGUAAUAAACAAACGAAAAAAUAACACACAUAACAGUCGAUAAACUACCAAAAAAUCGAAUAGGAGAAGUGUUUCAUAAAGUUGAACACCAAAAACUAUAACAAAAACACACUAAAAAAAAAGAAGAAAGAAACAUAGAUCUGAAAACUAAAACAGAGAUGAAAACUUGUUCUGAAGAUGAAAACCACAAUACCCACAGAAAUAAAAGAAAAUAAGCAUAUCUGAAACAAAAAAAAUUCGUGAAAAAGAAAGGAUAGUUGAAGUGAAAAUCAUACCUCAAAUCACCAUCCGAUGUAGGAGGAGAUUUCAAUAUCACAAAAAACAAGAAACGGCAGAGAGCCAUUACGGUCUGUUCCAAUUCGGCCUAUCUCCAAACAGGCCUAUUCAAGGAUAGGAAUUUCCUGAAACGGAAAUCACAUGACAGAGCCAUUUUGAAGAUGUUCUGAAAUGAGAAAAAACAUAUUUAGGUGCGCACUAAAAAUAAGAGAUGGAAACUGUUUUGCUCUAAAAUAUUUUACUAAUCUUUUUAAAAUUAAAUCCUAUCACAAGAAAACCGAAAGAAAAACAAUGCGAACCCUCUCCAAAACAACCCAACACAAAAUACAAAAAAUAAAAGAAAAACCAAAUCCGAGGCGCAAGCCCACAAAUGGAUCUCUAACCACCAUACAAAAAAAAAACCACACACAAGACGGCACUUAACAAAAUUAAACCGAACCAAACCAUACCCAACUUACCCAAAACGAAUCAAAACGAACCACAACAGUAUUCCACAACCCAAAACAGAGGUUAACUAGCCCAAGCAGAAUGGCAAAUAGGGUCAGACUGCCUCCCAUCAUUCCAUAACCGAAAACCCUGGCAAAAGUCCACUGAAAAUAUUAGUAGAAAGAAGCAUAGACUUGAAAUGAAAAGGAAAGAGACAAAUACAUAUUCAUCCCUGAAAUCAAUAUCCGAUGAAUUAGGGGAUUUCAAGAAUCACAAAUAACAGAAACGGCAAACAAAACUUGGGAUUUCUCUCACGAAAAGCCUCUACCUAGUGUACCAUCUUUGUGUGUAUGAAGAAAGAAAGGACAAGCAAGGAGGCUGGGAGAAAGAGAACAGGAGAGAAGGAAAAUAUUUGAAAACAAGGGAAAAAACAAGGGAAAAUAAAGGAGAAAGGAACGUUAGAAAUAACGGAAAAACAGGAGAGAAUAAAGGAAUAAGGAACGUGAUCCAUAGUUUCAAAUACUGAAAGAAAUAGACUUUCGCUAAAGCUGAAAAUCAAAAUCUCUGACAAAAGUACACAGGAAAGAAACAAAAAGAAUAAACGAGUGAAAUAUUAGAAAUAUUAGGCUAUCUGGACAGAAAUAUUAGAAAGAAAGCCAGCCGAAAAAGUUUAAAGCAUUAUCUUAAGUGAGAUAAAAGGGAGAGGAAAGAAGAGACUUUACUUUGGUCAGACCAAAGACUGCAAACCUGAACCAACAACACCCCAAACCCACAAAGCUAAACACACCACACUCCAAACCAGAGAUGAAAAAAGCAAAAAGCAAAAAAGACAAAUGUUGAAGCAGAUUCAUACCUGAAAUCAGUCUCCCAUGAAGCAGGGGUUACAAAAAUCGGAACAAAUAAACGGCAGAGAAAUGAACCCACUGAAAUAGAAGUAAAAAAAACAUUGAUCGGAAAACAAAAUAGAAAUCAAAAGGCAAAGACAGACAAAGACAAAGUUAAGGAUUCAUACCUCAAAAUCAGUCCCCGAUGAAGCAGUCGGUUUCAAAAACCACAAAAAACAAUGUAGGGUGUGUGUGUGUUUUUUUUUUUUUGGACUUUUGAUACCCAAAUCUAAAAAAAUGAGAGGAAAGAAAUUGAAAAGUGACCGAGAGAGAGAACCGGUAAAGAAAUGGGAAGAGAUUUGGAUUGAAGAGAUAUAUUUGAGGAUUUGUUAUGAAAAACAGAAUAAAUGAGGAAGAAAAAGAAAACAAAAGAGGGAGACCAAGAGACAGAGAGAGAAAGAAACGGAUAAUAAAUGUGCAUAGAUUGAAGAGAUGUUUAAUAAACGGCUAAUAAAUCAGUUUUGGGCCAUUUUAACGGUCACUUAGUAUUUUAUUUUGAUUCCCCCUUUAAGAUAUUAAAAAGAUUUAAGUCUCCUGUUUGACUUCGGGGAAAAUGCAGGAUGAACAGAAUUUACCAACUCACACCGAACCGGGGUCAUAAAAAAAUCGAACCGGGGUAAAAAAACCGAACCCGGGUACAAAAAAACCGAACCGGGGUCAUAAAAACCCGAACCGGGGUCCUUAAAAAAUCGAACCGGGUCCCCAAAAAACCUGAACCGGGAUAUCCC